AUAAGUAUAUUUUCUCUUAAAUUUUACAUGCUUUUUCCCAUCAUGUACACACCAUAUUAAAAUAAAUCCUAGUGAAACAGCAAAACACAGUAUGUUCACUAUAUGCAAGAGACAAAGAAAAGUGACCAAUUGCAGUGAAGGAUACAGGUUUUGUCCUUGUCAAAUAUCUAAUUUUGGGUGCUAGCAUGCCGGAAGUUACCACCAGACAUCAGCAGACCAAUUUCUGGUUGGAGAUGAAAAGUUGGAGGAUUACUUGAAGACCUUCUGGUUCUUCACCUAAAGGUCCGAAGAAUCAUAGAGUUGGAAGAGAGCACAAGGGCCAUUCAGUUCAACCCCCUGCCAUGCAGGAACGCACAACAAUGAAGAUCCUCUUUGUUGUGUGUAUGUUGGCUUGGAUGCACAUCCCUGGCUAUUCCAGACUUUAAGUUCUAACAUGUCCUAGCAAAUAUCUGAAUAGGCCUGACAAUUUCUAACUAACCAAAAGGAAAAAUUAUAGGAACUAGUAUGCCACAAAAAUUCAACGAAUAAUGUACAUGGCUUAUGGUGUUCAGUGGGCUUAUGUUCUAUUUUCUGUCUAUUGUUCAUGUAUUUUAACCACUGGUUGCAUAUAGAAAGUUGGACUUUGUGAGUCAGAGAAAAUUGUAAGACUGGAUUGUGCUAUAUUAGUGUUGUUGAGUCUGGUGGAAAUGAGGCCUUUCUCCAACCCUUGUACAAUGAAGUGUCCAAUGUGGAGGGUGUAGUGUGUUCAUUCCUGGCCGUGAUCACAAGCAGGAAGUAAGGAAUGGGCAGGUUUCUCAUCUCCAACAUCAGCAGCUUUUGCUGAUGCUUUUUCUUCAUCAGGCAAGAGCUAAUAAUAGCUGGCUGCAUUUAUUCCAGACAAGAGCUAAUAAUAGCUGGCUGCCUUGCCUUUGUUUUGGAGUAUGGACAAUGACCAUGAGUAAUUUCAUUGAUCUCAGAGGAAUGAGCCCCGGCCUAUAAAGGAGGUGUUUGGAAGCAUUAAGAUAUUCCAUUCUGGAAAUCUGGGAAUUUGUGAAGUUAGGCAUUUGAAAAUUCAGCACCUCAAAUAGAGGGACAUCUAGGAAUUUGGUGGAGGAAAUAGUACAAAGUCCAAACAGCAUGACUGUUUGUUUUAUUUUUUUACUGGCUUAUUCCAGGGUAAAGGCUCUAAUAAGACCCUACAAAUUACCCAAUCUUUGCUCAAGUUUCAUAUCUAAAAAGCCUCCAAUGCUUCUUUUAUUCUUCAUCCCUCACAUGGCUAGCUUUAUUGCGUUGGGCAAGGUAAUCUGGACGAACGCUUGGGCUCUUGUUGGGAAUUUCCUGAAGACGGGUGUGUUUCGUUUGCUGAAUACCUUGGACCUCCGUCGUCUUCUUGACGGACAUUAAUUGCCUAUUCUGGAUUGACGCUGGACUGACUGACUGACUACGACCUCGGACUACCCCUUCUGUGGCUUUCGGUGGAAUUGGUGAACCAAAGACAUCUGUACCUGGCUUUCGACCUCGGACCGGACUGGGACCCUGCUGACCGUUGCUACCCUGAUUGAAGUGCCUGGAUCCGGAUUCCGUUUGUUGCACGGGGGAGUAACAACCUUAGUUACUCAUUUGCAGCUUUCGAGUAGCAGAGAGGAAUCUGCUGCCAGCUAUUUAUGUUUCUUUGAAUCCUUGUUUAUCAACUUUUGUUUGUUUAAAUUGCCGGGCUGAAGUAAGCAUUUUCUGUUUAACCCGGAUUAAACUCCUGUUUAAUCCGGUUUAUCUUUUGAACCACUUUUAGUAUCAGCGGAGUCUUUUUUGUGUAUCUUUUACACUGAAGGCAAGUGUUUGCCUAGUCCUUUGUUUCAUACGGGCACUUUUUAGUUCUGUAACUUUAAUAAACUGUGUUGAACUUUA